CUGACCUCUGGAACAUGGCGUGGGAAGGAGAGGGUCGGGCUGCGGGGUCGCAGAGCUGUUCGGUCGUCUCCGCGGGUGCCAGGCGGCCCUGCGACGAUCCCUUGCGCACUGACCCGACGUCCCCGGCGGCUUGCGGGGCUCGGCGGGCUCACCGCCCGGACUCAGGAGGGUGCGAAGGGAAGCAGAGCUGGCGGGGGCCUCUUUGUCCCUUCUCCGGAACCGAACGCGUCACUGAGCGAAAUGCACAGCGACCUGAAACUAGAAACCCAAGGCCAGGCAGCGGGUCGUCGUCGGGCCGCACCCCUCCAGGCUGCUGUGUGUUUGGGGGCCUCCGAACUGCCCGGACUCCCUGCCCUUGUUUCAAGAGUUGGCAUGAGUCGGGCAUAUGGAGGGACAGUGCUUGUGAUUUGCGGGGCUCUCAGCAUCUGCUCUGGGAUCCUCUGGAGGCCGGAUAGAUUUCAGAAUCUCAAAGGUUUGGCCACUGCACUCCCAGCCCCUCAAGUAAAGCAAGGUAGAUGAAUUAUUCAACAACACCGGGCCAUUAGCAUUUGGGGCCUCACCUCUCUGGGGUCCUUGCCCUUGAGCAACUAAAUGCUUUAUUGAAGAGGGGAAAAAGAUGCAUGAGAAAGGUAGCACAGUGGGCUUUGAAACACUUUUGUACAGCUUUUCCUUCAGAGUAAAGGACAAAGAAUACUUCAACCCAAGAGCAUAAGCUCGAAUAUUUUACCAGUUUGCAAUCCGUCAUUCAUCGAUGCUGCUCAGAGUUUUGGAAGUUCACCUUAUCACAUCUCACUGAAAAGGUGCAUGCAACUAAUCAAGAACAAAUACAACCAGGACAUGAACCUGAAGAAUUUAAAGAAAGGAUGAAGUGCAAAAUGACCAGAGACUUGGGGCAAUCACUAAGAUUUAUGAGAUCUUGUUUCAUUUUUCAGAGUAAAAAUAAUACGGAAGGGAGUAAACCACUUCUUGGGCUUAUAAUGUGCUAUGAAGAGGUGGCAGAGACAAAUUUUAUUUUCUUCACUGUCUUUUAAAUUUAGUCACGAGAAAAAUCUUUACCCUGGAGAACAUUUACUAUCAAAGUAGGAAAGGAGGGCAAUUUUACCUAAGUUCAGAUCCACAGUUCCAGAUAAAUAACCUCCUAAAAUAAACAAACAGCUGGAGGUCUAUGCAGCCCAGGACUCCAGUUUUUUAAUAUCUGAGAGAUUACUCUUUGCAAGAUGGACCAGAUUUCCUCUUUGUAACAUGGGGCAGAUUUGGAUGGAAGAGAGGGAAUUAUGGGGAAAAGGCCACGUCAACUCACCCUCACACACAGGUGCUUCCUUAUCCCAAGUGACAGUACUGCCCAACAGGAGACAAGCCGAGGAAGGGGAGCCAAUGAGUUGAUACCUAGAAGCAAAGAAUGGAAAAAUAAUACUCUACACUUAUUUUCUACUUAAGUCCUUAUGAGAAAAGAAUUGUGGAUAGAUGCUACAAAUUACAGGCAGAUUAAAACAGGAGAUGUCAAGGAAGAAACCUCAUUUCCAUCUGAAAAUUGGUCAUUUCUAAGGACAGGUUUAAUUCUCACCGCUUUCAUCCAUGUUUCUUGCUAGUCCCUCAUUACAGAAUGCAGUAAUGCCCUUCUUCAUCAAGGAACAUUUUGUACUUGUCUUUAGGGAACCUCAAGAGCUAGUCUAUCCAUGUGCACGUCCAUCCAGGAAAUGACAAGCUCCUUGAUUAAGGGAAGAUAUCUUAUUGAAAUAUUUAUAUUCUCUAGAAUCUCACCUAGAGACUUUUAACCACGUGGUACUUGAAAAAUAUCUGUUGGAUGAAGGAUAGGAUGAUGGUUUUGCUAAGAUGACUCAAAUGUAAUAGGUGGGAGUACUUACCUAUUGUGCCAUAAAAUCAUUCAAUGUAGGUCACCAAGAUUGGAACAUUUCAUCACUUAUUUUUUAUUUAGUAGGUAUCUAUACUGUUACUGUAAGAAAUGUCACAAAGGAUAUUCAGCUAAGCUAUUCACACAUUUCAUGUAGAGUAGGGUUAAACUUGAUUAAGUAAAAGAUAAGGGGUAUAAUGCAAUGUCAUAUAAUAGUGAGUAGUUACUGGAACAGCUAAGAACUUUGCUUCUUGAUUAUCGAAGACGUGAUCAGGGCAGUAACCAUUUGUAGCAGAGUCUCCUGGUAUCUCUAUUAUCUACUUUCCUCUUUCUCAUUAGGGAUGGAGCCCUGUAUUUUUAACCGGGCUUUUGGGCAUCUUCAUUAAAGGUUCCCUGUGGUUGUGUAUAGCCAUGUGACUAAGUUUUAGCUACAGGGAUGCUCCUAGAGGGUCGUGUGAAACUUCUGGAAAGUGUCUUUAAAGGAAUGGGUGUUCCUUUCCUCCAUUGUUUCUCUUUGCUGGCGAGAGUUGGACCAUGUGAUGACACAGAGUCUCAAGUGGAAGGAUCCCAGGUUUAUGUGGAUCACAGAGUCACCUAUUAGCCCUGGGUUUGUACAUUUUACUGUUUUCUUGAAGGACUUCCCCUGCUUCUUAAACUGAGAGGGAAGUAAACUAUUAUCUUGUUUAAGCCUGUUAUUUUGUUUGUUCUGUCUUUUACAGCUUAAUCCAAUCCUAACCUAUAUACCAGGUCUUCCAAAAACAGUGAUAUAAAGGUGACGGGAACUAUGUGGGUAGAGCAAUGAUAGUGAGUACUUUUGUAAAUGGGUUGAGUCACUUUUAUAUUGAGUUUUACUUAUUGUUACUUUUCUUUUUAUUGAGUAUGUUGUAAAAUCUUUUCCAAUGUGCCAACAAAUAUUUCAAAUGCGCCAACAAAAUCCUCCAAAUUUCUUCAAAGAAACUAUUUGAGAAGCCCUACUGUAUUUCCUUCUGCCUUUCUCCUAUUAUACAUUUAACAAUUGUCUUAAGAGCACAGGAUCAUGGGUGUCAUGACUUUUGACUAUAGAUGUUGCUUUUAAUGUGUUCACUCUGACUAAGUUAGAGAAUUGGAGUAAAAAAUGUGAGGCAGGUUCCAGUCUAUGUAUGGCUGUAAAAAACAGGGGAUAUUUUCGAAUGUAUUAUGAGACACUAAUAUGCUCCAGUAGCAAUUGUUGUAAUUUUUUCUGACUUGAUUUCCCAUCUCUCUGAAAUUCUUUUACUCCAGCCUACUCCUUAGCUUCCCAGGACAUUAGGAAUUCAGGUGGCCUUGAAGCUAACCUCUGAUCAAGAAAAGCCCUGAGAUUCUCUUCCCUGUGAGCAAAAUACACACUGUGCAGAAGCAUGCUGACACAGACAUUGGAGAGACCAUUACAUAAGUUCAGGAUGGGAUAUGUAAGGGCUGGAAUAUGGUGCUCCUUCUAUCCUUUCUAUUUGUUCAUGGACUUAGAAUUAGUUUGGAGUAGAGGGAAUCUAUGGAGAUAUUCCAUAGGCUGCAAAUGAUUAAAAGUAGCUCACAGAUACGAUUCUGUCACACAUUCAGUUGUGUGUUGAACUUUGUAUUUUACAGAGAAUGUAAGCUUUCUCUCGAGGAGUCAUUUAUAAAAGUUGUAACAUAUCACUCCUCAGAGUGUAUCUCAAUACAUUUGCACAUAGGAAAAAUCAAAACAGCUAUAUGCUCUCAUUAUAAUACAAUAACACUAGCAAUCAAUAACUACAGAAUAAAUAAAAAAUUCAAAGGUUGGGUAGGAUCUUGGUCAAAGACAAAAGUAAAACAGACAUUGCAGAUUACCUUUAGGAUAAGAACAACAUGAUCAACGAGUCAUGUGUUUCACUCUUCAAAGUGUUUGACAUAGAUUCACUUACUUAAUUUUUAAAAUGAUGCUUUUAAGUGAAUAUUAUGCCUAGCCCCCAUUUUACAAAAGAGAAAACAGAGUUUAACAAAUUGUCCGAAUUCACAUGACAGUUACUAAGGUUAGAGUUUGAAUGCCAACUGGCCUCAACAACCUGUAGUGAUAAACCUGACAUUCAUUAUUCAGUGCCUUCCUUAUAAAUGCUGAUGCAAAUAUUACUCUUUGAAAAUUCCUGGGAUGCUGAUACCAAAACUACCCUAGAGAAAUAUUUAAUACUUUUGUCAUUUGACAAGAAAAAGUUCAGGGGUGCCUGGGUGGCUCAGUUGUUUAAACACCUGACUUUGGCUCAGAUCAUGAUUUCAGGCUC